GAGCUAAGUGUGUGUAGAGAGUAGAGAGGAUCAGCACACUGUCAUGCUGGUGUACUAAAGAGCUGAAAGUCAGUGUGUUCUUCUCCCAGUGUGUGCUACACCACCAUGAUCAUUUUCACUGUACUGCUGCUCUCUGCUCUUACAGGUAACAGAGCUGAAGACGUCAUCACUCCUAGCAGAGACGCUGUUUUUGCUGUUGAAGGUCAGAAUGUUUCUCUCUCCUGUAGCUACACUGUAUCUGGAUCCAAUUACGCUCUUCACUGGUACCGACAGUAUUCAGGAUCAUCUCCCCAGUUCCUCAUACUGGACUAUGCAGGGGUCAUUACUAAAGCUCAACCUCCAGUUCCUAGAAUAUCCAUCAACCAUCAAAAAGAAAAGAGGAAAGUGGAUCUGAUCAUCUCCUCUACUGCAGUAUCAGACUCUGCUCUCUACUACUGCGCUCUGCAGCCCACAGUGACAGAAACCCACCAAACACUGUACUAAAACUCUAUCAGGAGAAUUCCUGCCUUUUUAUCUCCCAUAAUGUUACAUUUGUGAUUACACCUUU